ACAGUACUGGUGUAUCGGUAACAUUUCCGCCUCUCAUCACAUUGAUAGAUUUCGCGGUAGCGCAGGGUUCGACUCCCUGGUAUGGAA